AACAGGAUUAGAUACCCUGGUAGUCCACGCCGUAAACGAUGUCGACUUGGAGGUUGUGCCCUUGAGGCGUGGCUUCCGGAGCUAACGCGUUAAGUCGACCGCCUGGGGAGUACGGCCGCAAGGUUAAAACUCAAAGGAAUUGACGGGGGCCUGCACAAGCGGUGGAGCGUGUGGUUUAAUUCGAAGCAACGCGCAGAACCUUACCAGCGUUUGACAUGGUAGGACGACUUCCAGAGAUGGAUUUCUUCCCUUCGGGGACCUACACACAGGUGCUGCAUGGCUGUCGUCAGCUCGUGUCGUGAGAUGUUGGGUUAAGUCCCGCAACGAGCGCAACCCUCGCCUUUAGUUACCAUCAUUUGGUUGGGUACUCUAAAGGAACCGCCGGUGAUAAGCCGGAGGAAGGUGGGGAUGACGUCAAGUCCUCAUGGCCCUUACGCGCUGGGCUACACACGUGCUACAAUGGCAACUACAGUGGGCAGCGACCCUGCGAGGGCGAGCUAAUCCCCAAAAGUUGUCUCAGUUCGGAUUGUUCUCUGCAACUCGAGAGCAUGAAGGCGGAAUCGCUAGUAAUCGCGGAUCAGCAUGCCGCGGUGAAUACGUUCCCAGGCCUUGUACACACCGCCCGUCACACCAUGGGAGUUGGAUUCACCCGAAGGCGUUGCGCCAACCUAGCAAUAGGAAGCAGGCGACCACGGUGGGUUCAGCGACUGGGGUGAAGUCGUAACAAGGUAACC
rnacentral:rRNA from 1 species